AGGUUUUGCUAAAUUAAAAUACGACUAUACACAGCUCCUAAACUAGAGUGGUCAAUCCCAUCUUGACACACACACCGACAAGUCAAGUACUUGACUACACCCAGCAGCCUUCUGUCAUUGAAUUAGAAAUUCAGGUAGUCCAGUGCCUAAGUGUAGUGAGUUGCUUGCAAGUCACCGUGGCGGUCUCAGGUCGGAGGGACAUUUAUACCCAUAUUCCAU
rnacentral:lncRNA from 1 species